AAGAAAAGAAAAGCUUCUAGUGAGAAAGUAACUGCCCGUACCGCAAACCGACACAGGUAGUUGAGGAGAGAAUCCUAAGGUGUGCGAGAGAACUCUCGUUAAGGAACUCGGCAAAAUGACCCCGUAACUUCGGGAGAAGGGGUGCUGACCGCAAGGUCAGCCGCAGUGAAUAGGCCCAAGCGACUGUUUAUCAAAAACACAGGUCUCUGCAAAAUCGAAAGAUGACGUAUAGGGGCUGACGCCUGCCCGGUGCUGGAAGGUUAAGAGGAGAGGUUAGCGCAAGCGAAGCUUUGAAUUGAAGCCCCAGUAAACGGCGGCCGUAACAAUAACGGUCCUAAGGUAGCGAAAUUCCUUGUCGGGUAAGUUCCGACCCGCACGAAAGGCGUAACGAUUUGGGCACUGUCUCAACGAGAGACUCGGUGAAAUUAUAGUACCAGUGAAGAUGCUGGUUACCCGCGACAGGACGGAAAGACCCCAUGGAGCUUUACUGCAGUUUGAUAUUGCGUGUUUGUAUCACAUGUACAGGAUAGGUAGGAGCCGAAGAUACCGGGACGCCAGUCUCGGAGGAGGCAACGGUGGGAUACUACCCUUGUGAUAUGACCACUCUAACCCGCUGCUCUUAGCGAGCAGGGAGACAGUGUCAGACGGGCAGUUUGACUGGGGCGGUCGCCUCCAAAAAUGUAACGGAGGCGCCCAAAGGUUCCCUCAGAAUGGUUGGAAAUCAUUCGUAGAGUGUAAAGGCAGAAGGGAGCUUGACUGCGAGACCUACAAGUCGAGCAGGGACGAAAGUCGGGCUUAGUGAUCCGGUGGUUCCGCAUGGAAGGGCCAUCGCUCAACGGAUAAAAGCUACCCUGGGGAUAACAGGCUUAUCUCCCCCAAGAGUUCACAUCGACGGGGAGGUUUGGCACCUCGAUGUCGGCUCAUCGCAUCCUGGGGCUGUAGUCGGUCCCAAGGGUUGGGCUGUUCGCCCAUUAAAGCGGUACGCGAGCUGGGUUCAGAACGUCGUGAGACAGUUCGGUCCCUAUCCGUCGCGGGCGUUGGAAAUUUGAGAGGAGCUGUCCUUAGUACGAGAGGACCGGGAUGGCCACACCGCUGGUGUACCAGUUGUUCUGCCAAGAGCAUCGCUGGGUAGCUAUGUGUGGACGGGAUAAACGCUGAAAGCAUCUAAGCGUGAAGCCCCCCUCAAGAUGAGAUUUCCCAUCACUUUAAGUGAGUAAGACCCCUGAGAGAUGAUCAGGUAGAUAGGUUGGGAGUGGAAGUACAGCGAUGUAUGGAGCGGACCAAUACUAAUCGGUCGAGGACUUAAUC
rnacentral:rRNA from 1 species